rnacentral:rRNA from 1 species
GACAGAGGGUGCAAACGUUGCUCGGAAUUACUGGGCGUAAAGGGCGUGUAGGCGGGAAGGCAAGUCGGGCGUGAAAGCCCCAGGCUCAACCUGGGAACUGCACUCGAAACUGCCUUUCUUGAGUGCCGGAGAGGAAAGCGGAAUUCCUGGUGUAGAGGUGAAAUUCGUAGAUAUUCGCAAGAACACCAGUGGCGAAGGCGGCUCACUGGCCCGAUACUGACGCUGAGGCACGAAAGCGUGGGGAGCAAACAGG